rnacentral:lncRNA from 1 species
GCGAACACUAGCAAUCCGCCAUAAAAAUAUCCUCUAUUUUCAUUGAUGAUCAUAUAUAUCUCUUUAUGGACAGCUACACCCUAUGACUAGUGACCUAAGGACGUGUUUGGCGCCCCGCAUAACACGGUAUUAGAACUUCACAUUGUAUUAAAAUAUUACAAUACAAUGUUUUGCAGUUACUCGGUAUUGCAUAAGAAAAAAUAAUAAUGCGGUAAAGCCCGCAUAAUAGAAACCCGAGAGAGAGUUGGGUAUAUAUCGCAUUGCAUUACAUUUUCAUUCAUUGUUCGUUUUGCAUCAUGUCAUGAAAUCUCAAGAGCGGUCCAAUUGAGCAUAAAAGCAAAUCCCUUGCAACUUUCAAGAGUCCAAAAAUGGGAGAACAAAGCCAGUUGCUAGUAACCAAAAAAUAAAAAAUUCAUCUUUUCCUCUUCCAAACGUGUCAAGCAAUUUCUUCUUCUCCUUUCCUCCAAAUGCACAGCAUCUUAGCUCCACCACCAUGCCAUCUUGAUUUGCCACGCAACACUGCAACUCCACCACCUCGCGUCGUGUGAUAACCAACUUCACCGCCACUAUCGCACGACACCACCAGCUCCAAUGCCUUCACUAUCUACCUAUGUCAAGCUCAUAUCACAAACCUUUAAAAGAACAUAAACCAUUCACCAAUAAAGAACCAAAAAAAAAAAAAAAAAACUAGAUUCCAAAGUCAAGCUCAAAUCAUAAAUCAAUAAACUCAUUCGCUAAUCUCUCAAAUAAACCAAAGAUCAAAACUUUAUAUGAAAAAAAUCAAACCUCUUUUUGAUAAGUAGCAGUCUUUGUGCCCGUUCAAGAUGAAAAAUGAUUAUGAAUUGACACUUUAAAGAAACAAGAUUUGUGUUGCGAUCAAAUUGUGGUUGCCAAUUGGGAGUUGUGACAAAAGGUAGUUGGUGAUUAGUUGAUAAAAAAAGGUUGGAGAGAAAAAACGAAGUGGGUAAAGGGACCAGGGAGGUGGUUGGUGAUUAAAUUGUAGUUGGAAAUUAGGAGUUGUGAUGGGUGAUUGUGGUUUUGAACUAAUCUUGUAAAUUUAAAUUAUUUAUUUAUGUUGCGAUAUUAUUU